rnacentral:rRNA from 1 species
AAUGUCGGGAACUCCAGGGAGACUGCCGGUGAUAAACCGGAGGAAGGUGGGGACGACGUCAAGUCAUCAUGGCCCUUACGAGUAGGGCUACACACGUGCUACAAUGGCGCAUACAGAGGGCAGCCAACUUGCGAAAGUGAGCGAAUCCCAAAAAGUGCGUCGUAGUCCGGAUUGGAGUCUGCAACUCGACUCCAUGAAGUCGGAAUCGCUAGUAAUCGUGGAUCAGAAUGCCACGGUGAAUACGUUCCCGGGCCUUGUACACACCGCCCGUCACACCAUGGGAGUGGGCUGCAAAAGAAGUAGGUAGUUUAACCUUCGGGGGGACGCUUACCACUUUGUGGUUCAUGACUGGGGUGAAGUCGUAACAAGGUAGCGCUAGGGGAACCUGGCGCUGGAUCACCUCCUUAAACGAUGAU